AUGCUGGUGUGAUAAGUGAUACAGUAAGCAAAAGUUACAACUCACACGGUUUCCAACCAUGUCCACCAUCUAAGAACCUCUUGGAGGGCACCAAUACAAAAGGCUUAUUAAGUGGAGAAUCCAAGUGGACCAGUGAGUUGUGAGUAGAUCACAAAGCCAAGGCAACGGACAUCAGACUAGACUCUGCUACACUCCUCCAGAAGGAAAUAUUGCAACAAUCAGCAAAGUCAUAUUCCAUAGGGACCAUAAAUUGGAAAACUGGGCAGCAAACUGGAAAAUUUUGAUAAAUGCAAGGUAAUGCACUUUGGCAGAAGUAAUAUAAAUGCACUAAAUGGCAGUGUGUUGGGGUUAUUCUUAAUUUAGAAGGAUCUAGGGGCUUUGGUAGAUAAUAAGUUGUUUGAUUCCAGGCAGUGUCAUUCUGUGGCUACUAAAGCAAAUAAAGUUCUGU